CAAUAGCGUAUAUUAAAGUUGUUGCAGUUAAAAAGCUCGUAGUUGGAUCUCGGCAGGCAGGGGGUGGUUCGCUCUUAGCGCUACUGCCCCAUUUGCCUGUGUGAUUGGCGGAGGUUUCGGGGUGCUCUUCGUUGAGUGACCCGGGGCGCCGUCAGGUUUACUUUGAAAAAAUUAGAGUGCUCAAAGCAGGCUUUUCACGCUUGAAUAUUCGUGCAUGGAAUAAUGGAAUAGGAACUCGUUUCUAUUUUGUUGGUUUUCGGAAAUCGAGUUAAUGAUUAAUAGGGACAAUUGGGGGCAUUAGUAUUCAGACGACAGAGGUGAAAUUCUUGGACCGUCUGAAGACUAACUACUGCGAAAGCAUUUGCCAAGAGUGUUUUCAUUAA
rnacentral:rRNA from 1 species